GGCUCUCAAUCCACUGAGCAACCCAGGUGCCCCCUUAAUGCUAAUAAUUCUUUACUUCCUUGACUGUAAAAGUGGGGAUUAGACUUGAUCACCUCUAAUGCUUCUGUGCCACCUUUUAAGAGAAGUCUUUCUUUCCUUCUUUUCCUUCCUUCCUUCCUUCCUUCCUUCCUUCCUUCCUUCCUUCCUUCCUUCCUUCCUUCCUUCCUUCCUUCCUUCCUUCCUUCCUUCCUUCCUUCCUUCCUUCCUUCCUUCCUUCCUUUCUUCCUUCCUUCCUUUCUUUCUUUCUUUUUCUUUCUUUCUUUCUUUCUUUCUUUCUUUCUUUCUUUCUUUCUUUCUUUCUUUCUUUCUUUCUUUCUUUCUUUCUUUCUUUCUUUCUUUCUUUCUUUCUUUCUUUCUUUCUUUCUUUCUUUCUUUCUUUCUUUCUUUCUUUCUUUCUUUCUUCCUUCCUUCCUUCCUUCCUUUCUCUCUCUCUCUCUCUUUCUUUCUUUCUCUCUCUCUCUUUCUUUUUUUCUUUUUCUCUUUCUCUCUCUCUCUCUCUCUCUCUCUCUCUCUCUCUCUCUCUCUCUCUCUCUCUUUCUCUCUUUCUUUAUUUGGAAGAAUUUUGGAAAGAAAGGUG
rnacentral:lncRNA from 1 species